GACGAACGCUGGCGGCGUGCUUAACACAUGCAAGUCGAACGGAAAGGCCAUGCUUUUGUGGGGUGCUCGUGUGGCGCACGGGUGAGUAACACGUGAGUAAACUGCCCUUGUCCUUGGGAUAACUUCAGGAAACUGGGGCUCAUACCGCAUAGGAGCUCCUGAAGCAUGGUGGGGGUUGGAAAGUUUCGGCGGUUGUGGAUGGACUCGAGGCUUAUCAGCUUGAUGGUGGGGUAGUGGCUUACCAAGGCUUUGACGGGUAGCCGGCCUGAGAGGGUGACCGGCGACAUUGGGACUGAGAUACGCCCCAGACUCCUACGUGCGGCAGCAGUGGGGAAUAUUGCACAAUGGGCCGAAGCCUGAUGCAGCAACGCCGCGUGCGGGAUGACCUCCUUCGGGUUGUAAACCGCUUUCGCCUGUGACGAAGCGUGAGUGACGGUAAUGGGUAAAGAAGCACCGGCUAACUACGUG
rnacentral:rRNA from 1 species